rnacentral:misc_RNA from 1 species
GAUGAAGAACGUAGCGAAAUGCGAUAAGUAAUGUGAAUUGCAGAAUUCAGUGAAUCAUCGAAUCUUUGAACGCAUCUUGCGCUCCUUGGUAUUCUGAGGAGCAUGCCUGUUUGAGUGUCAUUAAAUUCUCAACUACACUGACUUUGAAUUGGUGUGGCUUGGAUUUGGGGGGAAAAUUGUUGUGGGCUUUUUGUAUAGUCUGCUCCCCUGAAAUUGAUUAGCGGUACCUUUGUGGAACUGUCUACAGGUGUGAUAAUUAUCUACAUCUGCUGGAAUGCUGCUUUCUAAACCUUACUUGUAUUGACAAUCUUGACCUCAAAUCAGGUAGGACUACCCGCUGAACUUAAGCAUAUCAAUAAGCGGAGGA